GUAGUCGAGCGGAAACGAUGGAGCUUGCUCCAGGCGUCGAGCGGCGGACGGGUGAGUAAUGCAUAGGAAUCUGCCCGGUAGUGGGGGAUAACCUGGGGAAACCCAGGCUAAUACCGCAUACGUCCUACGGGAGAAAGCAGGGGAUCUUCGGACCUUGCGCUAUCGGAUGAGCCUAUGUCGGAUUAGCUUGUUGGUGAGGUAAUGGCUCACCAAGGCGACGAUCCGUAGCUGGUCUGAGAGGAUGAUCAGCCACAUCGGGACUGAGACACGGCCCGAACUCCUACGGGAGGCAGCAGUGGGGAAUAUUGGACAAUGGGCGAAAGCCUGAUCCAGCCAUGCCGCGUGUGUGAAGAAGGCUUUCGGGUUGUAAAGCACUUUCAGUGAGGAAGAAGGCCUUGGGGCUAAUACCUCCGAGGAAGGACAUCACUCACAGAAGAAGCACCGGCUAACUCCGUGCCAGCAGCCGCGGUAAUACGGAGGGUGCGAGCGUUAAUCGGAAUUACUGGGCGUAAAGCGCGCGUAGGCGGCGUGAUAAGCCGGUUGUGAAAGCCCCGGGCUCAACCUGGGAACGGCAUCCGGAACUGUCAGGCUAGAGUGCAGGAGAGG
rnacentral:rRNA from 1 species